rnacentral:rRNA from 1 species
UACAGAGGGUGCGAGCGUUGUCCGGAAUUACUGGGCGUAAAGGGCGCGUAGGCGGCCUGAUCAGUCGGGGGUGAAAUUCAGCGGCUCAACCGCUGGACUGCCUUCGAGACUGUCGGGCUCGAGCACGGUAGAGGCUGGUGGAAUUCCCGGUGUAGCGGUGGAAUGCGUAGAGAUCGGGAAGAACAUCGGUGGCGAAGGCGGCCAGCUGGGCCGUUGCUGACGCUGAGGCGCGACAGCGUGGGGAGCAAACAGG